GAAAUAGAAAAUAGACAAAGGUCUUAGCUAGAUUACAGUGUGCCUUCCAGACUCAGUAGAUACCACACCCUGUGUUAGGAUCAGUUUCACGAGAGACCAUCUACCUGCACAGCAGCAUUUUGUACUGAUGUUCAACAUUUUACAACAGCUUUUACAGGUGACACUAUCUGCAAAUGAAUAAUAAAGGUAUUUGUUUAGAGUUUCCAAAAUUGUAACAAUGUUAUAAUUUUACACUGUUUAGAUGUUUCCAUAUGUCAAUUUCUUUCUCUCUAGGAGUUAAAAGAAAACUUAGAGAUGACAACGUCUCUACUUCCCAUUGGGCGUUGCAAAAGCAAAAAAGGCCAACAACAGCAGAGAUGAAGAUUAGACGAGCUAAAGACAUUAUGACAAAAGUUCAGUCUGAUCUCAGUCAAUAUGAACAUCGGUAUAAAGGCAGCUCCCGACCCAACAAGAAGCUCACUGAAUAUAUCAGGUAUGUUUACAUUAAUAAUAGCAACAUAAUAAUAGCAAACUAAUAGAACAAAUUGGAUAUAAUAUAGU
rnacentral:lncRNA from 1 species